CAGAGCGAACGCUGGCGGCAGGCCUAAUACAUGCAAGUCGAACGAACACUUCGGUGUUAGUGGCGCACGGGUGCGUAACGCGUGGGAAUCUGCCCUUGGGUUCGGAAUAACAGUUGGAAACGACUGUCUAAGUACCGGAUGAUAUCGAAAGAUCAAAGAUUUAUCGCCCAGGGAUGAGCCCGCGUAGGAUUAGCUAGUUGGUGAGGUAAAGGCUCGACCAAGGCGACGA
rnacentral:rRNA from 1 species